GAUGCACAACAGAACUUACUGUGCGGAGAUUGCACACAAUGUGUCCACAAAGAAGAGGAAAGAAAUUGUGGAGCGAGCAGCCCAACUUGAUGUGGUUAUAACGAACAAGCUCGCCAGGCUGCGCAGCCAGGAGGAUGAAUGAGUAUUUUGAGCUUGCGAAGAGAUUUUUGCCCUUGAGAAGAGAUCUAUAUAUUCAGUGUUUGAACUUUUUCCCUGUGUUUGACUGCAAACCAGUUUUCUAUUUUCUUAGAUGUCGGUUUUGAACAACCCAAUUGGUUUCAAUUAUUUAAAUCAUCAGAUAUUGGUUUUCCUACAUCUUUUUUUUAUGACUUGCUGCAUUACUGCUGAUCUGCAGAUUACGACAGAUUAUC
rnacentral:misc_RNA from 1 species